AUCCCCGUUUUAGUCCCUUUCAUUCGCACCACCAUGAAUGGACGGCUAUGCUAACGGGGUAGAAUAAACACUGUCAUGGUCUGAAGGUGUGGCUAGCUGACUGUGCGCUCCACUAAAUAAAAUGACAGCAUAUUUCAAA
ensembl:snoRNA SNORA29 small nucleolar RNA, H/ACA box 29